rnacentral:rRNA from 1 species
GCAGUGGGAGCACCCUUUGGGUGUGACUGCGUACCUUUUGUAUAAUGGGUCAGCGACUUAUAUUCUGUAGCAAGGUUAACCGAAUAGGGGAGCCGGAGGGAAACCGAGUCUUAAUUGGGCGUUAAGUUGCAGGGUAUAGACCCGAAACCCGGUGAUCUAGCCAUGGGCAGGUUGAAGGUUGGGUAACACUAACUGGAGGACCGAACCGACUAAUGUUGAAAAAUUAGCGGAUGACCUGUGGCUGGGGGUGAAAGGCCAAUCAAACCGGGAGAUAGCUGGUUCUCCCCGAAAGCUAUUUAGGUAGCGCCUCGUGAAUUCAUCUCCGGGGGUAGAGCACUGUUUCGGCUAGGGGGCCAUCCCGGCUUACCAACCCGAUGCAAACUGCGAAUACCGGAGAAUGUUAUCACGGGAGACACACGGCGGGUGCUAACGUCCGUCGUGAAGAGGGAAACAACCCAGACCGCCAGCUAAGGUCCCAAAGUCAUGGUUAAGUGGGAAACGAUGUGGGAAGGCCCAGACAGCCAGGAUGUUGGCUUAGAAGCAGCCAUCAUUUAAAGAAAGCGUAAUAGCUCACUGGUCGAGUCGGCCUGCGCGGAAGAUGUAACGGGGCUAAACCAUGCACCGAAGCUGCGGCAGCGACACUGUGUGUUGUUGGGUAGGGGAGCGUUCUGUAAGCCUGUGAAGGUGUGUCGUGAGGCAUGCUGGAGGUAUCAGAAGUGCGAAUGCUGACAUAAGUAACGAUAAAGCGGGUGAAAAGCCCGCUCGCCGGAAGACCAAGGGUUCCUGUCCAACGUUAAUCGGGGCAGGGUGAGUCGACCCCUAAGGCGAGGCCGAAAGGCGUAGUCGAUGGGAAACGGGUUAAUAUUCCCGUACUUGGUGUUACUGCGAAGGGGGGACGGAGAAGGCUAUGUUGGCCGGGCGACGGUUGUCCCGGUUUAAGCGUGUAGGUGUGUGUUCCAGGUAAAUCCGGUUCACUUUAACACUGAGGCGUGACGACGAGGCACUACGGUGCUGAAGCAACAAAUGCCCUGCUUCCAGGAAAAGCCUCUAAGCAUCAGGUAACAUCAAAUCGUACCCCAAACCGACACAGGUGGUCAGGUAGAGAAUACCAAGGCGCUUGAGAGAACUCGGGUGAAGGAACUAGGCAAAAUGGUGCCGUAACUUCGGGAGAAGGCACGCUGACACGUAGGUGAAGUGAUUUACUCAUGGAGCUGAAGUCAGUCGAAGAUACCAGCUGGCUGCAACUGUUUAUUAAAAACACAGCACUGUGCAAACACGAAAGUGGACGUAUACGGUGUGACGCCUGCCCGGUGCCGGAAGGUUAAUUGAUGGGGUCAGCGCAAGCGAAGCUCCUGAUCGAAGCCCCGGUAAACGGCGGCCGUAACUAUAACGGUCCUAAGGUAGCGAAAUUCCUUGUCGGGUAAGUUCCGACCUGCACGAAUGGCGUAAUGAUGGCCAGGCUGUCUCCACCCGAGACUCAGUGAAAUUGAACUCGCUGUGAAGAUGCAGUGUACCCGCGGCAAGACGGAAAGACCCCGUGAACCUUUACUAUAGCUUGACACUGAACAUUGAGCCUUGAUGUGUAGGAUAGGUGGGAGGCUUUGAAGUGUGGACGCCAGUCUGCAUGGAGCCGACCUUGAAAUACCACCCUUUAAUGUUUGAUGUUCUAACGUGGACCCGUUACCCGGGUUGCGGACAGUGUCUGGUGGGUAGUUUGACUGGGGCGGUCUCCUCCUAAAGAGUAACGGAGGAGCACGAAGGUUGGCUAAUCCUGGUCGGACAUCAGGAGGUUAGUGCAAUGGCAUAAGCCAGCUUGACUGCGAGCGUGACGGCGCGAGCAGGUGCGAAAGCAGGUCAUAGUGAUCCGGUGGUUCUGAAUGGAAGGGCCAUCGCUCAACGGAUAAAAGGUACUCCGGGGAUAACAGGCUGAUACCGCCCAAGAGUUCAUAUCGACGGCGGUGUUUGGCACCUCGAUGUCGGCUCAUCACAUCCUGGGGCUGAAGUAGGUCCCAAGGGUAUGGCUGUUCGCCAUUUAAAGUGGUACGCGAGCUGGGUUUAGAACGUCGUGAGACAGUUCGGUCCCUAUCUGCCGUGGGCGCUGGAGAACUGAGGGGGGCUGCUCCUAGUACGAGAGGACCGGAGUGGACGCAUCACUGGUGUUCGGGUUGUCAUGCCAAUGGCACUGCCCGGUAGCUAAAUGCGGAAGAGAUAAGUGCUGAAAGCAUCUAAGCACGAAACUUGCCCCGA